rnacentral:rRNA from 1 species
GACGUAGGGUGCAAGCGUUGUCCGGAUUUAUUGGGCGUAAAGGGUGUGUAGGCGGUUGUUUAAGUUUGGUGUGAAAUCUCCCGGCUCAACUGGGAGGGUGCGCCGAAUACUGAAUGACUUCGAGUGCGGGAGAGGAGAGUGGAAUUCCUGGUGUAGCGGUGAAAUGCGUAGAUAUCAGGAGGAACACCGGUGGUGUAGACGGCUCUCUGGACCGUAACUGACGCUGAGACACGAAAGCGUGGGUAGCAAACAGG